GCAAGUCGAGCGGACUUUUAAAGCUUGCUUUUGAAAGGUCAGCGGCGGACGGGUGAGUAACACGUGGGCAACCUGCCUGUAAGACUGGGAUAACUUCGGGAAACCGGAGCUAAUACCGAGAUAAUAUAAGGAACCUCCUGGUUCUUUAUUGAAAGAUGGUUUCGGCUAUCACUUACAGAUGGGCCCGCGGCGCAUUAGCUAGUUGGUGAGGUAACGGCUCACCAAGGCGACGAUGCGUAGCCGACCUGAGAGGGUGAUCGGCCACACUGGGACUGAGACACGGCCCAGACUCCUACGGGAGGCAGCAGUAGGGAAUCUUCCACAAUGGACGAAAGUCUGAUGGAGCAACGCCGCGUGAGCGAUGAAGGCCUUCGGGUCGUAAAGCUCUGUUGUUAGGGAAGAACAAGUGCGAGAGUAACUGCUCGCACCUUGACGGUACCUAACCAGAAAGCCACGGCUAACUACGUGCCAGCAGCCGCGGUAAUACGUAGGUGGCAAGCGUUGU
rnacentral:rRNA from 1 species